CAGCUCUGAUUAGCCUUUGGUUGGUUCCAGUGUUCGUUUGUUUGUUUGUUUUACUUACACUGAGACAUCUUACUUGUAAGAUACAAGAAACAUGUUCAGCCAGAGUCCUGAGCUGCCUCUUUUUUGGUUAUUACCAGUGUUGUUACCGAUAGAGCCUUCCUGUAAAGAAAUGAGGGAUAAUCCUCAUCUUCCCCAAUAAUGUCCAUCCCCUUUCAAAAUCCUUCAGGAAGAAAGCUGGGUUUGUAACGUGACUCCUUCUGCUCCCCCCCUUUGCCACAGCGUGGAGUACUGACCUCUGAACUGGUGCAUCAAACAUGCCAAGGAGCUGAGGGGCAGGAGAGAAAAUUAACUGGUUUGUUUUGCCUCGCUGCUUGCUGGGUUUGCGAAGAGUAGGCGUGUGCUGCUCUUCUGCUGCUGGACCUGAGACAACUGAAAAACGAUGGUGGCAAGAGAGCCGAAGGAAGUGAGGGUAUCUGAGAGUCAUGCGUGCUGCCAGGUCCAUGGGGCACAGGAGCUGACGAGGAAAAGAAGAGCAGAGGUUACCUGCCUCUUCCAGAGAUGCACAGCGGAUCUUAAGGUUGUAUUGCAUCCAGGACGGGAGAUUUGCAGGCCUCUCGUGAGCCACGUGGUCCUGUUAGCCACGUCCUGCAUCUUUCGGGAGCUCUCUGGAGACCACACCAAGCAGGUGAACUUUAGAAGAGUGCUGUGAAUUCAUUGCUACUCUUAUCAUCUGACUGAGUGAUCCUUUGCUUGCAAGCGUACCAACAAUACUUGUGAAACCUUAUCCUGUAUCGGGGCUUCUGUACUGUUGGAUUGUUUUGUUACAACACUAAAAUUGGAUGCCCCAUCUUCUGUCUCGCGGCAGCCGUCUCGUUUGUUGAAUGAUUUGUCAGCUGCUGUCUGAUGUCCAUCCUGCCAUUCCUUUCCAUCUUCCAAGAGAGCCAUUGCAUUACAGCAGCAGUCACACCUCUGUGUAUGCUAUGUCAUUGAUAAAUUCCAGUCUGGCUCGAGCAGGAGGCAUGGUCCUGAGACUGCCCUUUUGAAGGGCUGCCGUGAUCUCUCCCUGCCGGCUGGCUCAGGGGUAUGUUCUGUAUUAACGCUCCUUGAUCUGUCUGCUGGUUUUGACACCGUGAUGUCCUUGUGGAAUGCCCUGAGCAGAUGGUGCAUCUGUCUGGGGCUGCUUCAGGUUGGUUCAGAUCAUAUCUUACAGAGAGCUGCUAAUUUGCCGGUAACACGUUCCCGUCCUUCCAGCAGGUUUCUGUCUGCCGCGUGGCUCUGUGAGGGGACCCUCCCAUUUUAGUGCCUAUUGAUUUAUUUUGAUGAUCGGUCUAAGCCGAUUCAGCACAUACUCACUUCUGUCUGACUUCAGGCAUUCCCCAUAUUCCCUGGUCCUUUCCCCAACCUGUCACUCCUGCAAAGUAAGGGCGUAUUUCCAGCUUUUUUGAGGAUGUGUCAGUGCAAAUAGUGCUGGUCUUGGUGGAUCAGUGCCCUAGGGGAUCCAAGGAAUUGCCAGCCUGUCUUAGGAAGAGGAGUGUCUGAGUGUCCUCCUUGUGUCCAUUGCUCCAGAUGUGCACGG